CUACUAAAUUGUCAGGAAUCCCCCUGCCACGCCCCCUUUGGUGCUUCGGGGAACGCCCUGCUCCUUCUCUCAUGUGCCCCGCCCACAUGGAGCUCCUCGCAUCGGGCUUCAUUGAGAACACCUGAGGCAUAUUCACUCACUCAUCACACCGCCGAUAUAAACCACAUUCCCCCACACUCCGGCUCCUUUAUUGCAUGUUCCUGUGUGUUCAUAUUGCCUUAUGUGCGCGCGCAUGCGUUUCCCGCUACGUGCAGUUCGACCCGGACUCUCGCGCUCUCGCUCCGCGUGCACUCUUUCCAGGCGCACCGUGGAUAUUACUUUCCUUUUUCCCGGAUUCCCUCAUUCGGAUUAUUCCUCAGACUCUGGACUAUUGUGGGCCACCGGAAUAAUCCUUUCACAGCAAUCUGGUGACGCCAAAAAAAAAAAGAGAGACACCAAGCAGAGAGACGAGCGGAAGGUCGCUGAAGCGGAAAUAAGCGCAGACGGGCGCCGGUGUAAGAUGCGUCACCCGGAAAGUGAACUCGCGUGGACGCGAAGAAAAGUUGUGCCGGUGCGUGAGGAAACUCUGGUGGGCGCUAAAGAGAGAAAGCGUGAGGGAGGGACCACCGGCGAACGUCAAGAAGGAAAGGCGUCCCGAACCGUGAGUGUGUGGGUGAACCCUGGUGUGAGCACUGGAAAGGAAAACGCCAGGGUGAAAACGAAAGAAAAUAAAGAAGCUCUGCUUGGUGAA